AUUGAACGCUGGCGGCAUGCCUUACACAUGCAAGUCGAACGGUAACAGGUCUUCGGAUGCUGACGAGUGGCGAACGGGUGAGUAAUACAUCGGAACGUGCCUAGUAGUGGGGGAUAACUACUCGAAAGAGUGGCUAAUACCGCAUGAGAUCUACGGAUGAAAGCAGGGGAUCGCAAGACCUUGUGCUACUAGAGCGGCCGAUGGCAGAUUAGGUAGUUGGUGGGAUAAAAGCUUACCAAGCCGACGAUCUGUAGCUGGUCUGAGAGGACGAUAAGCCACACUGGGACUGAGACACGGCCCAGACUCCUACGGGAGGCAGCAGUGGGGAAUUUUGGACAAUGGGCGAAAGCCUGAUCCAGCAAUGCCGCGUGCAGGAUGAAGGCCUUCGGGUUGUAAACUGCUCUUGUACGGAACGAAAAGCCCUGGGUUAAUACCCUGGGGUCAUGACGGUACCGUAAGAAUAAGCACCGGCUAACUACGUGCCAGCCGCCGCCGUAA
rnacentral:rRNA from 1 species